GUAAUAUCUUAUUGCUCGUUAGUAAAAAAGAAAUUUGUCACUUUCCUCAUGUAAACCUUUUUCAAAAAACUGGCAUCGUUUGUCUUGGGGUUAGGGGGUACAAAUGGUACCCAUAGCUUAGAGGGUGCAAAUGGUACCCGUAAGAAGACUUGGUGGAAAUCACGUUGGUCGUUUGGAUCGGCGAGAAUAAGACAAUUAUGGUGGCAAAGUUUUUUUUAAACAUUUUCUCUCCCGUAGUAAGGUAAAGCAUGUAUUUUCCUGGUAGCCGGUCUUACUUCAUGAAAAAAACAGUCCGCUACCAGCGACUAGGUCCCCUCUCUUAUGGCGGUCAUUGCGGCUCAAUACCUUCAGGGAUAUUCCUUUUCAGGGCGGUUGCAUGCGGAUAAUAUGGUCCGUCGCGUGCGCAAAAUAGUUAGGGAGAUAGACAGUUUAAAGGCGUCGAAACUGCCCAAUAUAUACUCGUACGAAACGUUGCCAUUUUGCAAUUUGAAUCUGGGUUGUGCGUUUCUGGCAAAGCCUUCAGAUUCAAG
rnacentral:lncRNA from 1 species